GGCUUAGUAGCGGCGAGUGANCGGCAAAAGCUCAAAUUUGAAAUCUGGCUCUUUCAGAGUCCGAGUUGUAAUUUGAAGAAGGUAUCUUUGGGUCUGGCUCUUGUCUAUGUUUCUUGGAACAGAACGUCACAGAGGGUGAGAAUCCCGUGCGAUGAGAUGAUCCAGGCCUAUGUAAAGUUCCUUCGAAGAGUCGAGUUGUUUGGGAAUGCAGCUCUAAGUGGGUGGUAAAUUCCAUCUAAAGCUAAAUAUUGGCGAGAGACCGAUAGCGAACAAGUACAGUGAUGGAAAGAUGAAAAGAACUUUGAAAAGAGAGUGAAAAAGUACGUGAAAUUGUUGAAAGGGAAGGGCUUGAGAUCAGACUUGGUAUUUUGUAUGUUACUUCUUCGGGGGUGGCCUCUACAGUUUAUCGGGCCAGCAUCAGUUUGGGCGGUAGGAGAAUUGCGUUGGAAUGUGGCACGGCUUCGGUUGUGUGUUAUAGCCUUCGUCGAUACUGCCAGCCUAGACUGAGGACUGCGGUUUAUACCUAGGAUGUUGGCAUAAUGAUCUUAAGUCGCCCGU
rnacentral:rRNA from 1 species